rnacentral:rRNA from 1 species
UACGUAGGUGGCAAGCGUUUGUCCGGAAUUAUUGGGCGUAAAGCGCGCGCAGGCGGUCCUUUAAGUCUGAUGUGAAAGCCCACGGCUCAACCGUGGAAGGUCAUUGGAAACUGGGGGGACUUGAGUGCAGAAGAGGAAAGUGGAAUUCCAAGUGUAGCGGUGAAAUGCGUAGAGAUUUGGAGGAACACCGGUGGCGAAGGCGGCAUCCUGGACCAACACUGACGCUGAGUGAGCGAAAGCGUGGGGAGCGAACAGG